rnacentral:lncRNA from 1 species
CUCCCUUGGUAGGGGCAUGCAGAAGACCUGAUGACACAAACCCUCCAAAGAGUUUCACCCUCACCACAACAGGUGGCUUCCUGCUCGGCAGCCCAUCCUGCAUCACUUCAGUGGACUUCUCUGACAUCUACUAGACCACAUUAAAUGAAUCACAGCCUUGAAACUGAACUGGAAGGACUUCCUUCAAGAUUUUUAUCUAAUUCCUGUUGGACAGUGUAAAAUGCCACUUCUUCCAGGGUUGCCUGCAUAUCAUCAAAAGGGAAAUAGUACUCAUCGAAGAUGUGCCUUUGCUAGGAACUAGGACAAGGGUGGCCUUUAUAAAUUCAUGAAGAGAAGGAGCCAGCAUAUGAACUUGCUGCCUAUCUUUAGCAAGGAGAUGCAAAUGACAUCCACAAACCUCUUCUGCUGUAUACCUGGAUGAAAGCAAGGCUAGCUGUGUGUCCUAUGGCACCAAGGACUGAAAGAUUGUAAGAAGUAAGAAAUGCUUUGGUAAUUCUGUUUCUCAAGCCUGCACAUCACGAGCAAACAAGUAUGCUUAUGGGUGUCUUAGCCCAGUAGGCUGUUUAUCAGAAAGCUACCAGUCCCCUGUGAGAAGCUGGCUUUCCUCCAAAAUGUAGAAGGUGUUUAAGGGGACAUAUUUCUUUGGUACACCCUAAAGCAAGCUUGUCCAAUGUGCAGCCUGCAGGCCGCAUGUGGCUCAGGACAGCUUUGAAUGUAGCCCAACAUAAAUUCAUAAACUUUCUUAAAACAUUGUGAUUUUUUUGUGUGUUUUUCUUUGUUUGUUGCUAAUCAUCUAUUGUUAGUGUUAGUGUAUUUUAUGUGUGGCCCAAGACAAUUCUUCUUCUUCCAGUGUGGCCCAGGGAAGCCAAAAGAUUGGACACCCCUACCCUAAUGGCUAAGGAAAGUUUAAAUCCUGUCCCCACCUACCUCAGGUCCAUGUUGC